UACUUUUGACCUCCAUUCUUUGCAGUCAGUUGAAGAGAUGUUUGGAAGAAUCGGGGAAAUGGAGAAAGAUGCUGAUCUCUAAAUACAGUGAUUGCUCAAAUCUUUCCUGAUGAGAAGAAGAAGAUGAUGAUGAUACUGAUGAUCAUGGUGAUGAUGCCCUGAUUGCUUUGGGCAUUAAAACAAAAUUUAAAAGUGAAUGGACCUUGCUGGAAAGGGCAAGAAACUGCUGUCCAGGAACCCCGAAGGGAACUGAAAGACAUUAAAACCUCUGGGGAAGCAAGAAGCAAUGUCAGGAGAGGGUCCAAAAGACCAAGCCGCUCCUGGAGUACAAAGAAGCAAACUACUGGCUUGUGGAGUCCAAGUCAACUCUCCACACAGAGACCAGAGGAUCUUCUUAAAACAAGGAAAACAGGAUAAAACCUAAAAUAAUGGCAUGAGGGACAGGAGCUGCACUUCUCUUCGAAAGUAUCCCCUAAGGCCAUGGAGGAGAGCCAGAGUCGGGGAAACCAGGUCUGAGGCUG